UACGUAGGGACCAAGCGUUGUUCGGAUUUACUGGGCGUAAAGGGCGCGUAGGCGGCGUGGUAAGUCACUUGUGAAAUCUCUGGGCUUAACUCAGAACGGUCAAGUGAUACUGCUGUGCUAGAGUGCGGAAGGGGCAAUCGGAAUUCUUGGUGUAGCGGUGAAAUGCGUAGAUAUCAAGAGGAACACCUGAGGUGAAGACGGGUUGCUGGGCCGACACUGACGCUGAUGCGCGAAAGCCAGGGGAGCAAACGGG
rnacentral:rRNA from 1 species